rnacentral:lncRNA from 1 species
AGGCAGCCUGUUGGAUUUAACAAGGCCACAAUGCCUGUUCCUCCUUCUCCUUUCAGACAGAGUCAAUUUUGACCAAGCCAUAGGACCUCUAUUCUGUAGAUACUGUAAAAAAUCUGGACACUUAAUUGAUAAGUGCUUCAAUAUCCAUGGGUAUCCACAAAGUACCACUUUUAACAAGGGAAGGAGACCUGCUGCUGCUCAUCUA